rnacentral:rRNA from 1 species
CCUACGGGAGACAGCAGUGGGGAAUAUUGCACAAUGGGGGAAACCCUGAUGCAGCGACGCCGCGUGAGUGAAGAAGUAUUUCGGUACGUAAAGCUCUAUCAGCAGGGAAGAAAAUGACGGUACCUGACUAAGAAGCCCCGGCUAACUACGUGCCAGCAGCCGGGGUAAUACGUAGGGGGCAAGCGUUAUCCGGAUUUACUGGGUGUAAAGGGAGCGUAGACGGCAGCGCAAGUCUGGAGUGAAAUCCCAUGGCUUAACCAUGGAACUGCUUUGGAAACUGUGCAGCUAGAGUGCAGGAGAGGUAAGCGGAAUUCCUAGUGUAGCGGUGAAAUGCGUAGAUAUUAGGAGGAACACCAGUGGCGAAGGCGGCUUACUGGACUGUAACUGACGUUGAGGCUCGAAAGCGUGGGGAGCAAACAGGAUUAGAUACCCGAGUAGUC